GCCGGGUGCAGUGGCGCGCGCCUGUAAUCCAAGCUGCUGGGAGGCUGAGGCUGGCGGAUCGCUUGAGUUCAGGGGUUCUGGGCUGCAGUGGACUAUGUCGAUCGGGUGUCCGUGCUAAGUUCGGUAUCGAUAUGGUGCUCCUGGGGGAGCUCGGGACCACCAGGUCGUCUAAGGAGGGGUGAACCGGUCGGAGACGGAGCAGGUCAAAGCCCCCGUGCUGAUCAGUAGUGGGGUUGCACCUGUGAAUAGACACUGCAGUGCAGCCUGAGCGAUACAGUGAAACUCAGUCUUUU
ensembl:misc_RNA Metazoa_SRP Metazoan signal recognition particle RNA